rnacentral:rRNA from 1 species
GACGAACGCUGGCGGCGUGCCUAAUACAUGCAAGUAGAACGCACAGUUUAUACCGUAGCUUGCUACACCAUAAACUGUGAGUUGCGAACGGGUGAGUAACGCGUAGGUAACCUGCCUGGUAGCGGGGGAUAACUAUUGGAAACGAUAGCUAAUACCGCAUAAUAUUGAUUAUUGCAUGAUAAUUGAUUGAAAGAUGCUAUUGCAUCACUACCAGAUGGACCUGCGUUGUAUUAGCUAGUAGGUGAGGUAACGGCUCACCUAGGCGACGAUACAUAGCCGACCUGAGAGGGUGAUCGGCCACACUGGGACUGAGACACGGCCCAGACUCCUACGGGAGGCAGCAGUAGGGAAUCUUCGGCAAUGGACGAAAGUCUGACCGAGCAACGCCGCGUGAGUGAAGAAGGUUUUCGGAUCGUAAAGCUCUGUUGUAAGAGGAGAACGGGUGUGAGAGUGGAAAGUUCACACUGUGACGGUAUCUUACCAGAAAGGGACGGCUAACUACGUG